AAGGCCUUCGGGUUGUAAAGCUCUUUUGUCAGGGAAGAAACGGUGGUCGCUAAUAUCGGCUGCUAAUGACGGUACCUGAAGAAUAAGCACCGGCUAACUACGUGCCAGCAGCCGCGGUAAUACGUAGGGUGCAAGCGUUAAUCGGAAUUACUGGGCGUAAAGCGUGCGCAGGCGGUUAUAUAAGUCAGAUGUGAAAUCCCCGGGCUCAACCUGGGAACUGCAUUUGAGACUGUAUAGCUAGAGUGUGUCAGAGGGGGGUAGAAUUCCACGUGUAGCAGUGAAAUGCGUAGAGAUGUGGAGGAAUACCGAUGGCGAAGGCAGCCCCCUGGGAUAACACUGACGCUCAUGCACGAAAGCGUGGGGAGCAAACAGGAUUAGAUACCCUGGUAGUCCACGCCCUAAACGAUGUCUACUAGUUGUCGGGUCUUAAUUGACUUGGUAACGCAACUAACGCGUGAAGUAGACCGCCUGGGGAGUACGGUCGCAAGAUUAAAAACUCAAAGGAAUUGACGGGGACCCGCACAAGCGGUGGAUGAUGUGGAUUAAUUCGAUGCAACGCGAAAAACCUUACCUACCCUUGACAUGGAAGGAAUCCCGAA
rnacentral:rRNA from 1 species